rnacentral:rRNA from 1 species
CCUACGGGAGGCAGCAGUGGGGAAUAUUGCACAAUGGGGGAAACCCUGAUGCAGCGACGCCGCGUGAGUGAAGAAGUAUUUCGGUACGUAAAGCUCUAUCAGCAGGGAAGAAAAUGACGGUACCUGACUAAGAAGCCCCGGCUAACUACGUGCCAGCAGCCGCGGUAAUACGUAGGGGGCAAGCGUUAUCCGGAUUUACUGGGUGUAAAGGGAGCGUAGACGGCAGCGCAAGUCUGGAGUGAAAUCCCAUGGCUUAACCAUGGAACUGCUUUGGAAACUGUGCAGCUAGAGUGCAGGAGAGGUAAGCGGAAUUCCUAGUGUAGCGGUGAAAUGCGUAGAUAUUAGGAGGAAUACCAGUGGCGAAGGCGGCUUACUGGACUGUAACUGACGUUGAGGCUCGAAAGCGUGGGGAGCAAACAGGAUUAGAUACCCGGGUAGUC